rnacentral:rRNA from 1 species
UACGUAGGGUGCAAGCGUUGUCCGGAUUUAUUGGGCGUAAAGAGCGUGUAGGCGGCCAGGUAGGUCCGUUGUGAAAACUCGAGGCUCAACCUCGAGACGUCGGCGGAAACCCUCUGGCUAGAGUCCGGAAGAGGAGAGUGGAAUUCCUGGUGUAGCGGUGAAAUGCGCAGAUAUCAGGAAGAACACCCGUGGCGAAGGCGGCUCUCUGGGACGGUACUGACGCUGAGAAGCGAAAGCAUGGGGAGCGAACAGG